rnacentral:lncRNA from 12 species
UUUUAAUCCCAUUAACCUCGUCCUUUAAUCCAAAUAACCUCAUCCUUUAAUCCCAAUAACCCCAUCCUUUAAUCCCAGUAACCCCAUCCUUUAAUCUAAAUAACCCCAUCCUUGAAAUCCCGAUAACCCCAUCCUUUAAUCCCAGUAACCCCAUCCUUUAAAUCCCAAUAAUCUCCUCCUUUAAAUCCCAAUAACGUCAUUUUUUAAUCCCAUUAACCUCGUCCUUUAAUCCAAAUAACCUCAUCCUUGAAAUCCCAAUAACCCCAUCCUUUAAUCCCAGUAACCCCAUCCUUUAUCCCAAUAACAUCCUUUAUCCCGAUAACCUCAUCCUUUAAUCCAAAUAACCCCAUCCUUUAAUCCCAAUAACCCCAUCCUUUAUCCCGAUAACCCCAUCCUUUAUCCCGAUAACCCCAUCCUUUAUCCCAAUCCCAGUGCAAUCCCACCUGGAGCACAGUUGAGUUUUGGACUCUUUUAUUCCGACAGUUCCGAGCGUUACACGAGGAGUCGCGGGCGGUGGCUACCGAAGGGUUAAAAACUGCUGGAGCCCUGGGGUGUCCCGGGAUUGUUCCAGGGGUGUCCCAGGAUGUCCCGAGGUGUCCCGGGGGUGUCUUGGGGUGUCCUGGGAUUGUUCCAGGGGUGUCCCGGGGUGUCCCAAGAUGUCCCAGGGUGUCCUGGGGUGUCCCAGGAUGUCCCGAGGUGUCCCCGGGGUGUCCUGGGGUGUCCCGGGAUUGUUUCAGGGGUGUCCCGGAGUGUCCCGAGGUGUCCCAGGGUGUCCCAAGAUGUCCUGGGGAUAUCCUGGAGUGUCCCGGCAUGUCCUGGGUGUGUCCCAGGAUGUCCCAAGGUGUCCUGGGGGUGUCCUGGGGGUGUUUUGGGGUGUUGGGGCGCCCCCCCCCCCCCCCCCCCCCCCCCCCCCCCCCCCCCCCCCCCCCCCCCCCCCCCCCCCCCCCCCCCCCCCCCCCCCCCCCCCCCCCCCCCCCCCCCCCCCCCCCCCCCCCCCCCCCCCCCCCCCCCCCCCCCCCCCCCCCCCCCCCCGCCGCUGCUGGCAGCUGAGCCCUCACCUUUCCCAGGGAUUCGCUGUCAGGGUGAACAGACCCCAGCAUGAGCUGCCAGGGGUGGAAAAAGCCGUAAAAACCGGGGAAAACCCCGAAGUGGGGUUUCCUAAAGGGACCUGGGGACACACCCAGAGCUGGGGACAGCCGCCACCACCAGGACUGGCACUGCCACCCUGGGAAUGUCCCAGAGCAUCCCGGGGAGCUGAUCGCGGGAUGGACCCAGAGCUCACCCCCCGGAGCCCCCACACCCCCCGAAGGCAACCCCAGGUUCGGGAUCUCCAUCCCGGGGGGAGGGGACACCACCCUCCGCAGCCAGGGGACCUGGGGAGGGUGUCCCAGAGUCCCCUGUCCCCGGGUCCAGCCUUGGCCAGCUGCCCUCACAUGCCAGCAAUGCCCACGGGGACCUCCUGCCAUCCUGCCAGGACCUGGCACACCUCGGGAUGGGGAGCAGGAAACGGAGCAACGGGAAAAACGGGAGGAGCUGAGCUGUGCCCCGGCUGGCAGGUCUGGGACACGGGUGACACCACUUUGGGAUUGUCCCCUGGCUGCGGGAAGGUUUGGGACACGGGAGACACCACCUUGGGAUUGUCCCCUAGCUGCGGGAAGGUUUGGGACAUGAGUGACACCACCCUGGGAUUGUCCCCUGGCUGCUGGCAAGUUUGGGACACGGGUGACACCACCCUGGCAUUGUCCCCUGGCUGCGGGAAGGUUUGGGACACGGGUGACACCACCCUGGCAUUGUCCCCUGGCUGCGGGAAGGUUUGGGACACGGGAGACACCACCUUGGGAUUGUCCCCUAGCUGCGGGAAGGUUUGGGACAUGAGUGACACCACCCUGGUGGCUGCUGGCAGGUCUGGGACACGGGUGAUACCACUUUGGGAUUGUCCCCUGGCUGCGGGAAGGUUUGGGACACGGGUGACACCACCCUGGGAUUGUCCCCUGGUUUGUCUCCCGGCUGGCUGACAAGUUUGGGACACGGGUGACACCACCCUGGCAUUGUCCCCUGGCUGCGGGAAGGUUUGGGACACGGGAGACACCACCCUGGGAACCUCGCCGGGAUUCAAGCCCAGCCUCGCCGGGAUUCAAGCCCAGCCUCGCCGGGAUUCAAGCCCAGCCUCGCCGGGAUUCAAGCCCAGCCUCGCCGGGAUUCAAGCCCAGCCUCGCCGGGAUUCAAGCCCAGCCUCGC